AUUGAACGCUGGCGGCAUGCUUUACACAUGCAAGUCGGACGGCAGCGGGGUAGUGCUUGCACUACUGCCGGCGAGUGGCGCACGGGUGAGUCAUAUAUUGGAACGUACCGAGUAAUGGGGGAUAACCAAUCGAAAGAUUGGCUAAUACCGCAUACGCUCUGAGGAGGAAAGCAGGGGACCUUCGGGCCUUGCGUUAUUCGAGCGGCCAAUAUCUGAUUAGCUAGUUGGUGGGGUACGGGCCUACCAAGGCGACGAUCAGUAGCGGGUCUGAGAGGAUGAUCCGCCACACUGGGACUGAGACACGGCCCAGCCUCCGACGGGAGGCAGCAGUGGGGAAUUUUGGACAAUGGGCGCAAGCCUGAUCCAGCCAGGCCGCGUGUCUGAAGAAGGCCUUCGGGUUGUAAAGGACUUUUGUAGGGAAGAAAAAGGAGCGGUUAAUACCCGUUUCUGCUGACGGUACCUAAAGAAUAAGCACCGGCUAACUACGUG
rnacentral:rRNA from 1 species